rnacentral:rRNA from 1 species
AGAGUUUGAUCAUGGCUCAGGACGAACGCUGGCGGCGUGCCUAACACAUGCAAGUCGAGCGGAGAUCGUAGCAAUACGAUCUUAGCGGCGGACGGGUGAGUAACGCGUGGGCAACCUGCCUUUCACAGGGGGAUAACACAGGGAAACUUGUGCUAAUACCGCAUAACACAGUGGAUUGACAUCAAUCUAUUGUCAAAGGA